CUUGAAACAUUCUGAGCCUGCCUACAGUAGGGUCUCAGAGGAGUUACCCUGAAAGCUGUUGAGAACAGCCACCUUUGCUGUCACUGAGACCUUGAAAGGGUCAGCUCCGGUAGGCUGUGUGCACCCAGGCUCUGGUUGCACCAGGAUGGCUUCCUGCAACCCAGAACCUGAUUCUGGCUCCCGGCAGAGCCUAAGGGCCCAAGCCAGGGACCUAGAAGUCGGACCCAGUUCUUGCGAGGUGUUCACAGCCUAGGCGCCCCGGGCUCGGCGUCUUACUGGCCAACAAGCCAAGCUACCUUGCCACGGGUGUAUCAGCAACUUAAGAGAUAAACGCUAGUGAACCCCCUUCCCACAUUUAGCUUGUGGCUCUGCUACAGACACUGGGCUUAGUCGCAGUUCACACCUAUUACACAUUCCCGGAGAGUGGGAGGAGCAGGAGGUAGAGAAAGGUAUGUGUAUUGGGGGAGGGGAGAUGUGUGCAAAACCUUCCAGAAAGUGGGGAGGUAGUUUAGAAAGUUUUUCUCUGUAGCAGCCCAACUUCUGAGAAGGCAGAGAAAAGAAGAAAGCAGGCAAGAGACGAAUCGCUUCCUCUCUCCUUUACCGCCAUCCUUCACCCCCUGGACCAGGCUGGUCACCCGGCUGGGAAUCAAGAGUAUGUGGCUGGAAAGACACCAGUCUCUGCGCUAGGGUUCAGCCCAGUAGGGCAAGAAAGUGUGGGCAGCUGGAGAAGGUUGUCACAGCCUCCCGUGGAAUCUUGAUACCUGAGAAACCCAUACGGGAAAGGGCUGAGACGACUCUUUCACACGCUGGUCGCAGCCCCUGCCAGAAGAUCCCCAGGAAGAUGCAGGGGACGCCCUGAGCGUCGGCCUUCCUUUACCCACAACUCCCUGAAGCUUUGUCUGGGGAUGCCAACUUGGGGCCUGGAGGCUCCGGGCUGCUCCGAGGCUGGGGGUUUUCUGCUUGGGUCAGAGGGAUCACGACCUCAGCAAAGCCAGGAGAAGUCAGGUGACACCACUGAGUAUUGCACUUGAUUCAAAACUGCCCUCGGCCUGCGGAAGAGGCGAAGGCAAGAAGCCUGGUGGCGGUCCAACUUUCGCCCCAUUAUUUUCUACAUUUUUUAUGCCCAUAUCUUUGUUAGGUGUAUGACUGCUAUACACCAACGGCUUGUUCUACAGAAAGUGUCCUUGAGGAUUGGGUUAAGCUUUGCAAAUUUGGCUUCCCAGGUAAUGCGCUUCAUUAUUCUGCUCCCGACUUACCCACCACACCAGUGGGUACCCGGAGCAGCACCCACUUGGCAGAAUUGGUGACUGCUCGGGCCCAGCGGAGUGCGCAUUGCGCUAACAUGCAUAGAGAAUUGCACCCUUCCCGGAGCCUCCGCACCGUGGGCCCUUCAAAGAGCUGGCGACCCCGCUCACCUGUCAGCAACCUCCACUUUGAAACUAAUUCGCACCUGUGUCUUUCACCCCAAAGGACUUGGCCUGUGGACGCUGUUCUGACUCAGGACGCGGAGAGAGUCGCAAAGGCGAGAGCGAGGGGCUGGGGACUCUUCUGCUCACCUUAGUCCUUGAUUUCGAAGGCCCCAAUUAACUAUCUUUUGUGUCAGGACCGGCGAGUGCAAAGUGGCUGCGCCCGGCUGACGCCCUCUCUCCCGGGUCCGGGUAUCCCACCGCAGCUGGGGUGGGUGGUGCGGACUACCCCAGGCGCACGCAGAUUCCCGCAGGGAAGAAGGGCUCGGUGUUCCAAGGACUGUCGUUUACCUCUCCCGAGAUCAGCCCUGAUCCGCUGGCAACUUAAGCGCCUCUGAACUCGGGGAGCGCUCAGUGGGGCGCCUCCCUGCACCCACCCCUACCCCUGGCUCCUUCCCAGGCCCAGCAUCUUUCCCACCACUCUCACCCCCACCACCCCCAGGGCCCCGCCCGUUUAGAGGCGUGCGGUGGGCACUCGGUUUACAGAACUGGCGUUUCAGAUGUUUAUUUGCAACUAAUUGCUUGUGCUGGAAAAUGCUUGUUACCCGGGCGGAGCGCUUCCGCUCUGCGCUGUCCGGACCCGCGGGCGGCAGCUUGCUGAUCCCACCCGCAAAGCCGCAAAGAAGCGGGCGGCUGGGAAGCGGUUGUGCCACCCGGGACCUGGCCAUCGGCGCUGCCCCAGGCUCCCGGUAGGGGGAGCCGCGGCGGGCGCCAGCCCCGCUUGUGUUCGGCCUCAGGUAGGCCCGGUAGCCAGCUGCCGAGACACCCAGCACAGGGUUCCAGUGGACUCCUCACCUGCCCUCCAGAUAAGGCGCCAUGAGCAGAAGGGAGCACAGGGCCAAGCUCCCUCCUAAUUCCCUGUUGUUGCAGAGCAAAGAAGAUAGGGGAAAACUAAUUAUAUUCUCUAGAUCUAAAUAUUGUUGAAAAAAUUUAUAGGUGAGAUCACCUCCUUUGCCCACAUCCAUAUAUAAUAUAUCCAUUAUAUGUGUUUGCCCACAUAUAUAGGUAUGUCAUAUGUAAAUAUGUACAUAUGUGUGUGUGUGUGUAUGUGUGUAGCAGUGGUUUGAGUCCUUUUAAUAUUUUAGGUAACCUUAUUCCUUCUCACUGUAUUUUCCAAGUCACUUAUUUCUAAGAGUUUUAGGUGAUCCCAGCAAAAAAUAGGAGCUCAGAUGAGACUUGCUGGUUUGGCUGCAGUAAAGUCAGCAACAGAGUCUCUUUCUGACUUCAUAGACUUAAGGAGGGGUUUAGAGACUUUCAUUUUAAGGUAUGACUAAUGUUUAGAGAAGGUCAAGGGGAAAGCAUUUAGACUGUGAACCCGCAGACCAUGCCACUGCACCCAGUGUGGCAGCACACCUUUGCUGAACGGCCAGAGACUUCCUGGUCGAUACUCCCACAGGUAAAAGACUGCAGGCUCUCCUUUUACACAAAUCCAUCUUUCACUGGGAACCUACAACUCCUAACAAUUCUCCGAAUGCCAAGUCCUCAAAGCCUCUUCAAAGAGAAUCAUAAAAACAAAGAAUUUCAAAUUUGGAAGGAAACCUAAAGUUUACUGGUGAGAAGCCUGAACUGAGUAGAGAGGCAAAGGAUCACACUCCAGGUGAGAAAGGCCCCAUGCACUGAGCUGAGGUUGGAACUCGCCUCUUCUGACCCUCAGUCCAGUCCAGUUUGACUACAGAGCACUCAUUAUCAUUGUGAUUAUUAUGAUCCCACGUAUUGUAGCUUUCUUAGGCAUAUUCCUCUAACACUAUUGUAAUAAUAGCAAAAUCUGAAAGAUCUUUAAAAAA